UCCUUGGGGACUCCACGUAUCACUACGC
rnacentral:piRNA from 1 species